AGGGUUUGAUCAUGGCUCAGAACGUACGCUGGCGGCACGCCUAACACAUGCAAGUCGAACGAAGUAGCAAUACUUAGUGGCAGACGGGUGAGUAACAUGUAGGUAUCUGCCCUUUGGCCUGGAAUAACACGAGGAAACUUGUGCUAAUACCGGAUAAGUCUUUACGGAGAAAGCUUUAUGCACCAUUGGAUGAGCCUGCACUUGAUUAGUUUGUUGGUGGGGUAAUGGCCUACCAAGACUGUGAUCAAUAGCUGAUUUGAGAGGAUGAUCAGCCACAUUGGGACUGAGACACGGCCCAAACUCCUACGGGAGGCAGCAGUGGGGAAUCUUGCACAAUGGAGGAAACUCUGAUGCAGCGAUGCCGCGUGAGUGAAGAAGGCCUUUGGGUUGUAAAGCUCUUUCGUCGGGGAAGAAAAUGACUGUACCCGAAUAAGAAGGUCCGGCUAACUUCGUGCCAGCAGCCGCGGUAAUACGAAGGGACCUAGCGUAGUUCGGAAUUACUGGGCUUAAAGAGUUCGUAGGUGGUUGAAAAAGUUAGUGGUGAAAUCCCAGAGCUUAACUCUGGAACUGCCAUUAAAACUUUUCAGCUAGAGUAUGAUAGAGGAAAGCAGAAUUUCUAGUGUAGAGGUGAAAUUCGUAGAUAUUAGAAAGAAUACCAAUUGCGAAGGCAGCUUUCUGGAUCAUUACUGACACUGAGGAACGAAAGCAUGGGUAGCGAAGAGGAUUAGAUACCCUCGUAGUCCAUGCCGUAAACGAUGUGUGUUAGACGUUGGAAAUUUAUUUUCAGUGUCGCAGCGAAAGCGAUAAACACACCGCCUGGGGAGUACGACCGCAAGGUUAAAACUCAAAUGAAUUGACGGGGACCCGCACAAGUAGUGGAGCAUGUGGUUUAAUUCGAAGAUACGCGCAGAACCUUACCAACACUUGACAUGUUCGUCGCGACUCUAAGAGAUUAGAGUUUUCGGUUCGGCCGGACGAAACACAGGUGCUGCAUGGCUGUCGUCAGCUCGUGUCGUGAGAUGUUGGGUUAAGUCCCGCAACGAGCGCAACCCUCACUUUUAGUUGCCAUCAUUAAGUUGGGCACUCUGAAAGAACUGCCAGUGAUAAGCUGGAGGAAGGUGGGGAUGACGUCAAGUCCUCAUGGCCCUUACGUGUUGGGCUACACACGUGCUACAAUGGUAUCUACAACAGGAAGCAAGACUGCGAGGUCAAGCAAAUCCUUAAAAGAUACCUCAGUUCGGAUUGCACUCUGCAACUCGAGUGCAUGAAGCUGGAAUUACUAGUAAUCGUGGAUCAGCGUGCCACGGUGAAUGCGUUCCCGGGUCUUGUACACACCGCCCGUCACACCAUGGGAGUUGGUUCUACCUUAAGGCAAGGUUUCAAACCCUUGACCACGGUAUAGUCAGCGACUGGGGUGAAGUCGUAACAAGGUAACCGUA
rnacentral:rRNA from 1 species